CUCUUUGUGCACCCGCCCACACGGUUUGUCCUGUUUUCACCCUUCUUUGCUCUCCACCGGUCUGGGCAGGGUCUGAGGACUCCGGAGAGCAAGGCAUGGGUCCGCCUCGUGCCGCAGGUUCCUGGCCCACGCCAGCCAUACCCAGUAGCACAAUGGGAUUUGAGGACACACGCCAGCUGCCUACACCUGAAGAAAGGUUAGUAUUAGGUUCCACUGGCAUGCUUGUCUCUUGGCUUGACUUUUUGGAAGGGGUGGAUUCGAGACAGGGUUUCUCCAUGUAGCCCUGAUCUCAGAUCCGCCUGCCUCUACUCUCUGGAAUUAAAUGCAUACAGCACCACCGACUGGCCCUUGUUUUGUUCUUAAUAUCCUGCCUGCAUUAGCCAGUCUCCAAGCAAGCUACCACCCAGCCAUCUUUUUGUUUUUAGAUCUUAACUAAUCUCCCUAACUCUAAAUCUAUGGUGGAUCCAGGAGCUGCCUUGAUUAUUUCUUGUGCCUUUAAGUUCUGUAUGCUAGUCCACGGCAGUGGGUCUCAGCCUUCCUGAGGGCCUUUAAUGCAGUUCCUCGGGCUGUGAUGUUCCUAACCAUCGAUUUUAUUUUCCUUGCAUCUUCAUAACUAAAGUUUGCUAUUGUGAUAA
ensembl:processed_transcript 1110038B12Rik RIKEN cDNA 1110038B12 gene